UUGAAGAUGUCUCUGGAGGCUGAAGUCAUCUAUUGUACCCCAGAACAGGUACAGCACAGACAGUGGCUUUACAAAUGUCCCUGUACUGCCCCUCUUGUGUACCUCACUCCUGAUUUGGAAAGAAUACCUGUAGGAGAGAAUGGAUAGGUUCCAUCUCUAACUCUCUUAAUCCAUGGUGUGU
rnacentral:sRNA from 1 species